UCUACGGGUGGCAGCAGUGGGGGAUAUUGGACAAUGGGGGGAACCCUGAUCCAGCGACGCCGCGUGAGUGAAGAAGUAUUUCGGUAUGUAAAGCUCUGUCAGCAGGGAAGAAAGCAAUGACGGUACCUGACCAAGAAGCCCCGGCUAACUACGUGCCAGCAGCCGCGGUAAUACGUAGGGGGCAAGCGUUAUCCGGAAUUACUGGGUGUAAAGGGAGCGUAAACGGUGAUGUAAGUCUGGAGUGAAAGGCGGGGGCCCAACCCCCGGACUGCUCUGGAAACUAUGUGACUGGAGUGCAGGAGAGGUGAGCGGAAUUCCUAGUGUAGCGGUGAAAUGCGUAGAUAUUAGGAGGAACACCAGUGGCGAAGGCGGCUCACUGGACUGUAACUGACGUUGAGGCUCGAAAGCGUGGGUAGCAAACAGGAUUAGAUACCCCGGUAGUC
rnacentral:rRNA from 1 species